AAACUCCUGCACCAGACAACUGAUUAAAGUUAUUAUACUGUAUAGAAAGAGGAGGUACAAUAAAUGCACCCCAUAUACACCUCAACCCAAGCCCUUUGCCUGGUCUGUAUUGUGAAUUGGCAGACAAAA